GCAGAGAUUGGAGUGAUGUGUCUAGAAGCCAAGGAUCCCAAGGAUUGCCGGGAACACCGGAAACAAAGAGAAAGGCAUGGAAGAAAGACAUGGAACAGAUUCUCCCUUAUUGCCUUCAGGGAGGGCAUGGCCCUGAGGACACCCCAACUUCAGACUAGAGAGUGGAAGACAGAAAUAUCGAUGUAAAAGAAACACGUCGAUUGAUUGUGAGGAGCCUGCAACCGGGGCUAGCAAUAUGCGGUAUGAUAUUGACAGCUCCCAAGUCAAAUUGAGAUCUAGAUGG